AACCCCUAGGAAAGCAAUGGAAACUACUAGACUAGAGUAUGGCAGGGGUAGAGGGAAUUUUCUAGUGUAGCGGUGAAAUGCGUAGAUAUUAGAAAGAACACCGGUGGCGAAAGCGCUCUACUGGACCAUUACUGACACUCAGAGGCGAAAGCUAGGGUAGCAAAAGGGAUUAGAUACCCCCUGUAGUCCUAGCCGUAAACGAUGGAUACUAGAUGUUGUGCUUCAUGUACAGUAUCGUAGCUAACGCGUUAAGUAUCCCGCCUGGGGAGUACGCUCGCAAGGGUGAAACUCAAAGGAAUUGACGGGGGCCCGCACAAGCGGUGGAGCAUGUGGUUUAAUUCGAUGCAACGCGAAGAACCUUACCAGGGCUUGACAUACUACAAAUUCUUUUGAGAAAAAGAAGUGCCUUCGGGAAUGUAGAUACAGGUGGUGCAUGGCUGUCGUCAGCUCGUGUCGUGAGAUGUUGGGUUAAGUCCCGCAACGAGCGCAACCCUUAUUUUUAGUUACCAAUUCGUUGGGUUCUCUAGAAAGACUGCCGGUGACAAACCGGAGGAAGGUGAGGAUGACGUCAAGUCAGCAUGCCCCUUAUGUCCUGGGCUACACACGUGCUACAAUGGCUAAGACAAAGAGUCGCGAACUUGCAAGAGUCAGCUAAUCUCAUAAACUUAGUCUAAGUUCAGAUUGUAGGCUGCAACUCGCCUACAUGAAGUUGGAAUCGCUAGUAAUCGCUGGUCAGCCAUACAGCGGUGAAUUCGUUCCCGGGCCUUGUACACACCGCCCGUCACACCAUGGGAGCUGGUCAUGCCCGAAACCGUUUGCUUAACCUUUUGGAGAGCGGCGUCUAAGGUAGGGCUGGUGACUGGGGUGAAGUCGUAACAAGGUAA
rnacentral:rRNA from 1 species